rnacentral:lncRNA from 1 species
AUGCAAAUCGCUCCCAGAGCUGGGGAAAGUGCGGUGCCUUCAGCAGGUCACAACCUUCGCCUCUUCCUCUCCUUUGCGAUGCAGGAACUGAGUGUGGUUCCUUUCUCCCCACGCCGGCCGCCGGAGGAAGCCGUUUCUGGCCACCGCAGCCUGUGCCGGCAGAGGCCUGGGUGGGUGGGCUGCCGGCUUCCUGCCUGCCCUUUGCCCCCUGUCAUCCCCGGCCCAACCCCCACCGACCCAUGGGCCGCCUUCAGUCCCACGUUCCCACUGCUCCUGCCAGGCAGCCCACCUGGAUUUCACCCACUCGCCGGGCGAGGGUGGCCAGGGCUGGCGGAGCGGCCUCCAGUGACGCAGCCAGCUGUCCCCCCACAGGACAGCCGCCAACCAUGCUGGGGACCCCGGAGCCCGCAGGUCGUGGGUCGGGCGCUGUCUACACGGCCGCCCUACUGCACCACGGAACGGAACGGAGGGAACAGACCACCCGCGAUGAUGUCAGCGAGCAUCCCGCCCUUGAGAGGGACCGACUGGGCCAGUGUGCAGACCCUGGUCCAGCUGCAGGCCACAUCCCGUGCCAAGAAGCUGCCGUCCGGCUUGAAUGCUCCUAGGAGCGGGGAGCUCGCUCCUUUCCAAGGAGAGGAAUUUAUCUCACGUACCGGGACCCUCCCCAGCACACGUCCACCCACACGCCUCCCAGAAGAGCAGAGGUCCCAGGUCUUCGUGCGUGCUCGGUCUCUGGUAGAACUGAGCGGGGAAAGAAAACCCACAGGAGGACCCAAGGGGCGGGGGGGGGGGGGCAGCCAACCGGCAGAAGGGGCCCUAAGGCUCAGCUCGCACGCCGAUGAGGGGAGUCCCGACCCCCGUGCUGGGCCGGCCGGGGCUGCUGGGGCAUCAGUCGUCAAUACCCCUCACAACGUCUGCGCGUUCAACCGAGCCAGGCCGCUGCUCGGAACGCAACCAGGGAAGACGCUUGGCUCAGCGUGCUCACGACGGCGAAAAUGGGAAAGAGCGCCCACACGUGCCCCCGGCGGGGCCGGUGAUGCGGACGCGGGUGUGGCCCUGGGAUGCUGCCCUUCAGCCACUGAGAGUGUGGUACGAAAGUGCUCGGGAGGAUGUGGACAUAGGCCCUCAAGACGCUGUUAA